GACGAACGCUGGCGGCGUGCCUAAUACAUGCAAGUCGAACGCAGUGGGGACGGGUGAGUAACACGUGGGUAACCUCCCAUCAGAGGGGAUAACACUUGGAUACUGGUGCUAAACCGAUACUGAUGGAUGGACCCGCGGUGCAUUUGCUAGUUGGUGGGGUAACGGCCUACCAAGGCCACGAUGCAUAGCCGGCCUGAGAGGGUGAUCAGCCACACUGGAACUGAGACACGGCCCAGACUCCUACGGGAGGCAGCAGUGGGGAAUCUUGGGCAAUGGACGAAAGUCUGACGGAGCAACGCCGCGUGAGUGAAGAAGGUUUUCGGGUCGUAAAACUCUGUUGUUAGAGAAGCGUUAUCUAACCAGAAAGCCACGGCUAACUACGUGCCAGCAGCCGCGGUAAUUC
rnacentral:rRNA from 1 species